AGAUAUGGUUUUGUUGUUUGAUUCUAAGCUUCCCUUACUUCCUGGAAAGUUGAUGGAUGGCACUGUAACAAGUGGUAAAGGUUUUUCCUUAUGCUGUGAUUGAGCUUGAGAAUAACAAUGGAAAAAAAUUUAAAGUGAAUGGACAAAGGGUGAAGAAACAAUACUUUAGAAAUGUUGAAGAGGUCAAGAUGGUGUGAUGUGAUUCUUGAUGAAGUCUAAGUAGUCAAGAUAACUAAUUCAU
rnacentral:lncRNA from 1 species